rnacentral:sRNA from 1 species
UUAAGUACACACACAGCAAAGUGAAGACACUGGCGAAGCUUUUUUCAAUAUAUUAACAAAAAAUGAUUUCAGUAAAACACAUAGCUCUUGUCUUGUGUGUGUUGACAGCGGUUUGUCUUGCCAGAAAGAAUGUUAAAGACAUCUUUAAAAACUCAAGCCAAAAGAGCUGGAUGCGCUGCUAAUGAGACACCGUGUAAGAAUGGAGAGUGUGUCCAGAUAGACUGGAUCUGUGACACUGAAAAUGAUUGUAUU